rnacentral:rRNA from 1 species
CCUACGUGAGGCAGCAGUGGGGGAUAUUGCACAAUGGGGGAAACCCUGAUGCAGCGACGCCGCGUGUGGGAAGACGGUCCUCUGGAUUGUAAACCACUGUCCCCAGGGACGAAGAUGACGGUACCUGGGGAGGAAGCUCCGCCUAACUACGUGCCAGCAGCCGCGGUACUACGUAGGGCGCAAGCGUUGUCCUGAAUUACUGGGUGUAAAGGGAGCGUAGGCGGGAUGGCAAGUUGGGGGUUAAAUCUACCGGCUCAACUGGUAGUCGCACUCAAAACCGCUAUUCUUGAGUGAAGUAGAGGCAGGCGGAAUUCCUAGUGUAGCGGUGAAAUGCGUAGAUAUUAGGAGGAACACCAGUGGCGAAGGCGGCCUGCUGGGCUUUUACUGACGCUGAGGCUCGAAAGUGUGGGGAGCAAACAGGAUUAGAUACCCCGGUAGUC